rnacentral:rRNA from 1 species
CCUACGGGGGGCUGCAGUGGGGAAUAUUGCACAAUGGGCGCAAGCCUGAUGCAGCCAUGCCGCGUGUGUGAUGAAGGCCUUCGGGUUGUAAAGCACUUUCAGCGGGGAGGAAGGCGGUGAGGUUAAUAACCUCAUCGAUUGACGUUACCCGCAGAAGAAGCACCGGCUAACUCCGUGCCAGCAGCCGCGGUAAUACGGAGGGUGCAAGCGUUAAUCGGAAUUACUGGGCGUAAAGCGCACGCAGGCGGUCUGUCAAGUCGGAUGUGAAAUCCCCGGGCUCAACCUGGGAACUGCAUUCGAAACUGGCAGGCUAGAGUCUUGUAGAGGGGGGUAGAAUUCCAGGUGUAGCGGUGAAAUGCGUAGAGAUCUGGAGGAAUACCGGUGGCGAAGGCGGCCCCCUGGACAAAGACUGACGCUCAGGUGCGAAAGCGUGGGGAGCAAACAGGAUUAGAUACCCUUGUAGUC